rnacentral:lncRNA from 1 species
GUUUUCCUUCAUAUUGGGGAGAUCCGAGAAUCGACCCCAAUGAGCAUAGUCAGGUUGACAUCAUCGAUCGAAAAAAUUUUCUCUGACUUAAAGAUAUGAAAGUUCCAGCAUAACGAAAACUGAUGACAGAGCAGGCUCUCUAUGAUGCCGGACUUAGUUCAGUAACUUAUUUAGAUAUUGCAUAAUUGGUCGCUUUGUUUUUUGUUUGC